rnacentral:lncRNA from 1 species
UUUUUUUUUUUUUUUUUUUUUUAAGAUUUUAUUUAUUUGACAAAGAGAGAAAGGAGAGAGGGAGCACAGCAGGGGGAGUGGCAGGCAGAGGGAAAGGGAGAAGCAGGCUCCCCAUCAAGCAGAGAGACCAACAUAGGGCUUGAUCCCAGGACCCAGGGAUCAUGACCUGAGCUGAAAGCAGAGGCUUAACCCAACUGAGCGACCCAGGUGCCCCAACUCCAGCACUUCUUCAACCUCAUCUCAAUGACAAGUUUUUCAUUAUACAUUAUUGUUUCCAUGUCCUUUCCCCCACUACCCACCCUACCAAACUAAGCUUCCACAGUACAUUUAUAUUAACCCCUUACAAACAUCCUUUUCUUCUUUGCUCUGUUCUCCCUCUGUUGCACCUGCCUGGCAAAUGCCAACCCAAGUUAAACCCAACCCUUUGCCUACUCCAUGAUUGUACCUACAUGUUGCUAGAGAAGAACACUUAAAUGCACAGAAUGGUUUCACUUUAAAUUCAGGACCAUGAAUCUCAAAUGAGCACUCAACAUUGUCCUACUAUCCUAUUAAACUACUUUAAUAAGGUCACUUGUGUAUUCUCCAAAAUAACUAUUUCAUACUUUAUCUUGUCUCCUCAAAUCUAUACUCACUCUCUCUUCCCCUCUCCAUCUCAGGUCACUGAGAAAAUACAAGCAAUCUCAUGAGAAUUCACUCUUCCCUCUGCUACCACAUCUACUACCUGACCCACACCUAUACAUAUAUCCUCUUCUCUCCCCUGUGUUAAAAUGCAGUGUCCCUGCUUCUGUCAGAACACAACUCUUCCACUUGGGCACUGGUUCAAUCUCCACUCACCCUCUCAAAACUCACUGCUGCAGUAAGCCUUUUCCUUUUUUUCCUAAUUUUCAAUUUCUUUCUCUGCAAAAUCUUUCUUGUUGAGGCAGAUUAUUUAAAAAACACUUUCGUGUACUCACAUUCCCUGCAAGUACUCUCCCCUUUCUCUCCUUUCCUUCUUAGCACAAUUUCUUGAACCAAGCUUUUAGUAGCUCCCUCCACUUCCUUACCUCCCAUUUGCUCCCCAGAUGUCUCCAAUCUUCAAUUACUAUUGUGCUUAUUUUUUAUAGACUAGAGGAAUCUGUUACAAUCUUCUUAUAACUCUGGGACUCUCUCGGCCAAAUACUCUCUCUACAAGCCUUCCAAAUGAGCAAAUAGGUAAGUUUUACUACUUCAGGGUGCCUUUCUUUAGUUUGCCCUAGUCUUACAAGAGCUAGAGAAUCCAAUCAACAGUAUGUACAGUGGAGUUUGGCCUGCAGGCAUGAUAAGAGUAGGUGGAAAAGGGUGUGCCUUCUCAGAGAGGAAGUAAGGGCAACACCUCAAAUUCUUGGAAGUGGAGGUGCGCCUGACUCAACUGUGAGGGUAAGACUACAGGGAGGUACAUGAGGCAACCACCUGAAGUCAUUUCAGCACUACUCUCUGCUCCAAGCAAAUCAAGAAUUUCAAUUUUCUUGCAACUUAACAACAAAAAGAUAACAGGAUUAAAAAAUGGGUAAAGGACUUAAAAGGACAUUUCUCAAAAAAAAAUAUAUACAUAUAUAAAUGUUCAAUAAGCACAACAAAAUAUGUUCAACCUUAUUCGUCCUUUGGGAAAUGCAAAUAAAAACCACAAUGAGGGGUGCCUGGGCAGCUCGGGUGGAUGAGUGUCCAGCUCUUGGUUUUAACUCAGGUCAUGAUCUUUGGUCAUGAGAUCAGGCCCCUCAUGAGCUUGGCACUCAGGCCAGAGUCUGCUUGAGAAUUCUUUCCCCAUUCACCUCCCCUCUGCUUCCCCAACUCCUGUUUGUAGUGUGUGCUCUUGCACUCUCUCUCUCUCUCCCUCAAAUAAAUAAAUAAAAAUCAAAAAAAUAAAAAACUUAAAAAACCCCACAAUGAGACACUACUUUGUACCUACCAGGAUGACUAUAAUCAAAACCAGAAAAUAAGUACUGAAAACGAUGUGGAGAUAUCAGAACUCUCAUAUACUGCUGGUGGGAAUGUAAAAUGAUGCAGCUGCUAUGGAAAACAGUUCGGCCAUUCCUUAAGAAGUUAGAAGCUAAAACUGUCACAUGACCCAGCAAUUCCACUCCUAGGUGUAUACUCAAGAGAAAUGAAAACAGGUGUCCAAACAAAACUUCUGAAUGUUCAUAGCAGCAAUAUUCACAAUAGCCCAAAAAUGGAAACAACAAAGGGUGAUAUACUCCUACAAGGGAAUGCUUACUGUUCAGCCAUAAAAAGGAAUGAAGUUCUGACUCAUGCUACAACAUGGAUAAACCUUGACAACAUGGAACUAAGUGAGAGAAGCCAGAUACUAAAAUCCACACACUGUAUGAUCCAUUUAUAUGAAUAUAAUAAUAGGCAAAUCUAUACAGACAACAGAUAAGACUGCUGGGUGCUGGAGGAGAGGGAAAAUGGCCCGUGACCAUGGGUAAGGGUUUCUUUUGGGGGGUGAUGAAAUGUUCUAUCAGAGAGUGGAGAUGGUUGCACAAUAUUGCAAUUUUAUGUUACAUGAACUUUACCUCAAUUAAAAAUAAAAAGAAAUUCCCAGUCUUCUCAAAAUGCUGAACCAAGAAGAAAAGACAGGGCAUAAAAGCCCUGUGUUUAAAAACAAGCAUGGUGGAGUGCCUGCAUGGCGCAGUCAGUUAAGCCUUCAACUUUUGGUUUUGGCUUAAGUAGUGAUCUCAGAGUCUUGAGAUUGAGCCCCGAGUUGAGCCCCAUGUCAGGCUCUGCACUCAGCAUAGAGUCUGCUUGUCAUUCUUUCCCCCUCUCCCUAUGGCCCCUUCUGGUCAUGCUCUCUCUUUCUCUAAAACAACUAAAUAAAUCUUAAAAACAGGCAUAGCAAGGCAAGCUCCUAAUGAAUUACUUUCACAACAAAUCAGUCUUUGCUCUACCCAAAAACUUAAGAGAAUCACACACAAAUGGGCCAAGGUAAAAUAAACUGACGUAUUAAUUUCUGAAAACUAACUUUAAUGUUAUAAGUGUAAACACUAAAUAUUUAGAUUAAUGAGUUAAUUAAGUACUUUGGGAGAACUAAUGAACAAACAAGGGUAAGGAAACUUCUAUGUGCUCACAUUACUACUUUCCAAUUGAGGAACAUAUUUAUACAACUAAAAAAAUAGAGAUAUGGCAACCGGAAACCCAUAAAAGGAAUGGGAACAGUGAAAACAAGCAAGAGCUCAAAGCUACCACAAGCACAGAUUGAUGACUCAUAGGCACCUCCCUUUGCUGAUUUGUCUAGGUCAGCAGAGGGCAGAACUGGAGAACUACAAAUAUACAAUAUCAAAGAGCUAUUUAUAAAGCUUUCCCCCCAAAUGUGCUUUCUUUUCAUUAAGAAAGAGAAAAGGGAAAAUAAUAGUUAUACCUCUCAGUAUCACCAAAGAUUACUACGGUUCUCAAACUCUAAGCUAAACCUAUAGGCCAAACAACCUAGAGUCUUUGCUCACAUUGCUUGCAGUACUCUAAAGGGCACCAGGAGGUCAGCUCACAUCACCCAGUGACACUUCUCCAUCUGGGGUGAUCCAGGAGCUCAUACCAUGAUGAAAUUACUCUACAGACCAGACGUCACAGCUGCCACUUGUCCCAACUCUACACACACCCAAGUUACCAUGGAACUGGUACAAACAGAAUGGAGUUUAAUAUGCUAUUAGCUCUGAUCUAAGUAGCUGACAUAACACCAAUUAAAUUUAUAAUGACACUGGAAUAAUAAAAGAGCACUUGGCACACUUCUUUGCAAACAUGAUUCAAAGGGUGGUUUUCACUUAGCCCUUUCUUCAAUUUCCAGAUGCUAGAUCACUUAGGAGCCACUUACAAUCUUUCUAUUCAAAGAGUUGGUGGUGUUUAGGAGGGUUAUCAUUUCAUAAGAAAAGGACUACUAACUUAUAAGGCCCAGCUACUAGGAAUAUUCAACUACAGUACAGCAACCUCCAUUUCUUGCAGGGUAAAAUGAUUAUUGUGGUUGGAAUCUAGAAUCUUGAGUUCCUACUCAUCUUCCUCUCUUUCCCUGAUUCUAGUUCUGGCUCUAUGAAGAAUAUUUGAUCUCUACUUUUAAAACACAGGGAAAAAUAAAAUAAAAUAAAUAAAAAAUAAAUAAAACACAGGGAAAGGCCAUGAAAUUCAUGAGAUGGCUUCACCAAGGAAUCCAUGGCUAUUAGGAAAUAAGAGCAGCAGAGCAGCAGACAUCACUAAUCUGCUGGCACUUGCAUCCUUGAGCCCCUCAACUAGCCCUACCAAUGGUUGUAUUUAUGCUAUGCAUGGAAGAAGUCACUGGGCCCUCUGGGCACACUGACAUGAUAUAUACUGAAGCUAUAGAUAAUGGGUCCUUUGCUCUUAUGGAAUACCCUAGAGUAAUUUAAAUGAGUGAACUACAUAUAUUAGUGUGGGGAGAACUUAAAAAAAAAAAAGUUACUGAAAGAUACGAACACUAUGAUGUUAUUUGUUAAAUAUAAGAUGCCAAAAAACAUGGAAUGGAAAGAUACAUACAAAAAACUGGACAGUAGUUACUUCUGGUGAAUGGGAAGAAAACUGAGGUGGGCCUGGAAAGGAAGUUACAAAGGAGAUGUCAAUUUCAUUAGUAUUGUUUUAUUUUUGUAAAAUAAUAAUGAAAAAGUAAAUAUUACAAAAUAUUAACAUUAAUCCUGGGUAGUGAACAGGUGUUCAUUAAGUUAGCUUUGUAUAUUUAUCUUCAAUUUUUUUCCAAAUUUAAAAAAACACUUUAUCUUAUAAACAUUUGGUGGCAAUAUGCUCAAUAGUAAGUCGCUCCUGAGCAUCCACCAUAUGUAAACAACAAAUCUUCUAUUUAUUGAGCAUUUACUUGAUAAUAAAUGCAUAGUGUCAAAUGAUUUACAUGUAUAAUGUUAAAAGGUAGGCAUCUGGCAGGGGGUGGGGGGGGGGGCGGUGCCUGGCUGGCUCUGUUGGUAGAACAUGAGACUCUUGAUCUCAGGGUUGUGAGUUCAAGCCCCACGGUGAGUACAGAGAUUACUGCCGCUCCCUCCCUACAAAAGGCAGAAAUUUUUAAAAGGAGAAAUGCUUAUCCUCCUCACCUCCUUUGUUCCUCAGCUAUAGCCCUGGCCUCAAUUUACUCUCAGGAAGAUUAGUGGAUUUUCUGACCAGGAAAAAAGUAAUGUUGCUCAACCCCUUCUGCUCUGCCAGGAUCUGCCUGCUUGCAACAGGUACGUAUUUUCCUCAUUUGUUUGACAGUCUCAGCGUGCCUCUGCAGCAAGAGACCCGUGGUUGUCCCACAAAUGCAGAGAUUUGCUGGAGAAAUUAAUCUCAUCAGUAUGCCUAAUUCUGGAUCCAUUCAGAAACUGCUGUUAUUGCUGCAUACUGAAGCCAUAUUCUUCAACAUUAUAUUUAACUAAUAGAGAAAAAAUAUAUAAAAAAUUUUAUCUCGGCAGCCCCGGUGGCUCCACAGUCUAGCGCCACCAUCAGUCUGGGGCCUGAUCCUGGAGACCUGGGAUCAAGUCCCAAAUCGGGCUCCCUGCAUGGAGCCU